UCCACCCCCUUCUGCCUCCCAAAGUGCUGGGAUUACAGGCAUGAGCCACUGCUCCCAGCCAAAAUAAUAUUUCUUUCUAUCACAAAAGUAUGCUGAUUUUAGGUGAUUUUGAAAAUAAAAACAAAAAGAUGACUAACAUAGCAAUCGCUACUCACUUUUUGUGAGAUUUUUCUAGAUUUGUUUUAUUCUGCAACAUUUACAUAUUUAAGGACAUAAUGCUUUUAAAAUAAAUAUUAUGUGUUGACCAAUUUCCCCUGGCAUUAAAUCUCUUAAAAAACACAAUUUUCACUGUUACUUAAUAUUCUGUCAGUUAUGUUUGACCAUUCAUCUACGAUUAGGAAUCCACACUGACUCUACGUCUUCCCCAAAUAACACGUGGGCGAAUACCCUUUUACUUCCGGUAUCAGGCCAGAUAGUACUUACCAGCAAUUUGCCUGAAAACACUGAAUUUGGUCUUCAAGAAGCCUACUCGCAUCCUAGAGAUUUUUUAUUAGAUGCCUGAGGAAGGAUGUCUUACCUCUUUCUCAGCGAAUAUGUGGAAAAUAGCAACUAGGUAAUGGCCAGGGAGGCGAAGUCUGAAGUUGGUGUGAAUACGGCAUAUCGUUUUAGGAAAAAGGAGUCGCUUCCCUUAAAGUCAAAGUGUUAUUAAGAGAUCCGCUUCUCAAACUGCAGCAGGGCAGUUUCGUGGGGGAGAGCGGUAAUGUAUGUUGGUGGUGGAGUUUCACUAGAAUUGAGAGAUACACCUGGACCCUGUGUGGGUUGGGUAAUGUCGCUUUAGAGCGAAGGUUUUCUUCUUCCGAGUGGCUCUGAGGGAGAGCAGGUGGCUGCAGACUCUCAGUCCUGUGUUAGGGCGCGUUUCUUAAUCAUUCACCGAUUAAAUAUGUGACCUUGGGCAAAUCACAUAUCACUGCAUUGAGACCCGGUUUCUUAUCUGGAAAUUAAUCAGCAUUAAAUAUUUUAUGGUUCUCUGAGUGUUUCUUUGAGAGUUUUUCACUCUAGUUAACGGUAUCCCAUGAUGAAGGUUUUAAAAUGGUUUUUUGUUUUAUGGCCAUCUCUUAGAGUUUUUCUAUGUUGCAAAAUAGGAAUUAAGAGAAUAGAGACUUUCAAUUUUUGUUUUAGAAAAAUUGUAGUGUUGCUUUCUUUUUCAAAUGCAAGUGCUAUUAAAUUGAUUUCAGUUCAUAAUCUAGGGAAUAUCUUAUAAGUAUUCUCAGAACACUAUAAAAAUAUGCACUUAACUCUCUAGCAUGUUUUAAAUUACCCAGGACUUUUCUUGUUAAGAUUUAGAUAUGUACUAGUCUUGAAUUCUAAAAGAUUACAAAUUGUUGAAAAUCAUUUUCAUCUUCAUACAGCAAAUGAAUGGAGCAGAGUCCAUGUCUGCUUGAUGGAUGGCAUCCUCAUCCCAGGGCCUCGUGUUGAACAGGUGCCUAAUAAAUGCUUCUUAAAUAAGUGAAAAUGCAGAGACAUGUUUUUAAAUUUAAAAAAUAAGCUCUAUGCUUUCUUACCUUUUUUCGUAAAAGCAAAACGAGAUUUAAAAACCUCACAUAGAAUAACAGGAUCAUUCUCUCUGUUACCACGUUCCAAAGAUUGCCUUCAUUUUAAUUAAAAUCCAAGUG